CAUGCAUACAGCCCAGUCUAACGUACAGGAUCAAAAAGCCGGGCGUGGUGGCACAUUCCUGUAAUCCCAGCUACUUGGGAGGCUGAGGUGGGAGAAUCGCUUGAACCCGGGAGGCGGAGGUUGCGGUGAGCCAAGAUCGCGCCAUUGCACUCCAGCCCUGAAGUUAUUUGAAGGAUCCUUGAGACUCUUUUGGAUUGCUGCUUGGAGAACAUUCCUGUAACUUGUCCCUGCUCCUUGAACUAUAAAAGCAGAAGGGAGGUACUGAGUUAAAACUUACAAAUUAUUAUCAAAUAAAUCUUCAAUAGUG
rnacentral:lncRNA from 1 species